CGUAACACGUAUGUAACCUACCUUUACCAGGGGGAUAGCCUCUCGAAAGAGAGAUUAAGACCGCAUAAAAUGAAGACACAGCAUUGUGAUUUCAUCAAAUAUUUAUAGGGUAAAGAUGGGCAUGCGGAACAUUAGCUAGUUGGUAAGGUAAUGGCUUACCAAGGCUACGAUGUUUAGGGGAUCUGAGAGGAUGACCCCCCACACUGGUACUGAGACACGGACCAG
rnacentral:rRNA from 1 species